GACGCACUCAGGCCGGGCGUCCACAUCCGGGCAUCUACCAGGUUCCAUUCGCCCCCGCUGGGGGGCGGAACCAGUGGUCCAGCCCCUCAGAACUCGCCAGGCCAGGACUUUUCUGCUGAGUCGCUGGACUUUUAUGGGUGGAGUGACGCCCAGACCUUUAAGACGGGGUUCACCAGAUCAUCUCUGUUAGUCUUCAGUUUACUACCACUGAGCAGUGUGCCUUUCUGUGCAGAAGCAUCAAGAAGAAAUGAGCAGAGAGGUUGGUGGUUGUUUGAGGCCAGAGGUGUACAGGACAGGUGCAGCAUCAGUACAUUUAAUCGUGGUUGGAGUUUCUCCAGACAAUAAAAUAAAACAAAAGGACAAAGGAGCAAUUAUAGAGAUUGACAAUGCAAUGUUGGAUACUCAAUUUUAUAAAAAGAGGAGAUUAUUCAAGAAGUUUUGGACUUUGUGGAGAGAAGAUUUUAUUUGGAAAUGCUGGUCAUGAGACUCUGAAGGAGACUUCUAAGUUGGGAAGAUAAGGGAGAAUGAGAGAAUGAAGCCCUCAAGAGGAGAUCAAGUUAAAUAAUUUAUUAGAGCAAUGAUUUUCAUUGCUGAUGACUUAUAAAUGAAAAAAAAAAAAAAGCAAUGACUUCAUUUUAUAGCAAGCAAAGAUUCCAAAACAAAAUGUCAUGGUCUUGUAAUGUUUAAAGAUUAUUUAUCCAGACCAUCCAAGACUCUGAACUGCUCCAGGUUAAUAUUGUUUCUAGAGUUCAGUGAGCGUAAAUUCUAUAGAGCACAAUGACUGAUAAAAGACACUUUAGUGUAUUGUACGUGUGAUUGUAUUUACACCAAUUUCAGCAUCAUCUAUGACAAUUGGUAUGUCAGAGUCCCAGAAAGAAAUGCUAUGUUACAGUUUCUGGUUACUCCAAAGGUUUUUUGAAAAGUCCCACAAAAUGAUUAGUAAGUCUCAUUAAUUGAUAAAUCUACUUACUGAUAAUUUCUAAAUUAAAAGCUCAGUAAAAAUAAAAGUGAUAAAAAGCCAAUUCUAUAUGAAAUCAUGGCAGUAAUGAUACUGCUUAUGAGCAAACAUUGUACAUAUGUGUUCACAAUAAGGUAUUUCAUAGCUUUUUAUUUGUUCUGCAGAAUUUUAUUAAAAGUAAUAAUUAAUCAACUCUUUUUUAAUGUCAGCAUUUCAUUAAGAGCAGGAAUAGUUAGAGCUAUUGUUUCAUAUAGACCCAGACAUAUCUCAGGAAAGCCUAAUUUACCUGACUUCAUUGAUCUUUUCCUUUCUUUUAAAAUUUUCAAAUGGAAUCUCAAGUGAAUAAAUUAGUAAAUUUAUCAUUUUCUCUAUAAUACUGUCAUAAGGACAGUUUGAUAAAACAGCUCAUUAUAGUCAAUGAUAUGAAAUAUGAGUUCCAUAAGCAUAUUUUCAUCAAAUGCUGCUACAGAAAUUAGUUUGCUAUUAUCAAGAACUGUGGAAUGCAAAAAUAAUAUUAAGCAUGCUAUUAUACUGGUUAAAAUUUAGGAUUGACCAAAGUGAAUUAAAAACAAAAUCUG